rnacentral:rRNA from 1 species
GGCGGACGGGUGAGUAACGCGUGGGAAUAUGCCCUUUGGUACGGAACAGUCCCGGGAAACUGGGUUUAAUACCGUAUGUGGUCCUUCGUAGUGGAUACGGGGGACGAAAGAUUUAUCGCCAAAGGAUUAGCCCGCGUUGGAUUAGGUAGUUGGUGGGGUAAUGGCCUACCAAGCCGACGAUCCAUAGCUGGUUUGAGAGGAUGAUCAGCCACACUGGGACUGAGACACGGCCCAGACUCCUACGGGAGGCAGCAGUGGGGAAUCUUAGACAAUGGGGGCAACCCUGAUCUAGCCAUGCCGCGUGAGUGAUGAAGGCCUUAGGGUUGUAAAGCUCUUUCAGCUGGGAAGAUAAUGACGGUACCAGCAGAAGAAGCCCCGGCUAACUCCGUGCCAGCAGCCGCGGUAAUACGGAGGGGGCUAGCGUUGUUCGGAAUUACUGGGCGUAAAGCGCAUGUAGGCGGACCAGAAAGUUGGGGGUGAAAUCCCGGGGCUCAACCCCGGAACGGCCUUCAAAACUAUUGGUCUGGAGUUCGAGAGAGGUGAGUGGAAUUCCGAGUGUAGAGGUGAAAUUCGUAGAUAUUCGGAGGAACACCAGUGGC